rnacentral:rRNA from 1 species
UACGUAGGGGGCGAGCGUUGUCCGGAAUGAUUGGGCGUAAAGGGCGCGUAGGCGGCUGUGCAAGUCAGUAGUGGAAGCCCAGCUUUUAAGGUUGGAAGUGCUAUUGAAACUGUGCAGCUUGAGUGCAGGAGAGGUUAUCGGAAUUCCCGGUGUAGCGGUGAAAUGCAUAGAGAUCGGGAGGAACACCAGUGGCGAAGGCGGGUGACUGGACUGCAACUGACGCUGAGGCGCGAAAGUGUGGGGAGCAAACAGGAUUAGA